rnacentral:rRNA from 1 species
CCCUUAGAUGUUCUGGGCCACACGCGUGCUACACUGAGUGGAUCAGCGGGUCAGGUUGCGCGAAAGUGUUUCCUAAUCUUGAAAUCCGCUCGUGAUGGGGAUUGACGGUUGCAAUUUUCCGUCAUGAACGAGGAAUACCUUGUAAGCGCGGGUCAUCAUCCCGCGCUGAAUACGUCCCUGCCCUUUGUACACACCGCCCGUCGCUCCUACCGAUUGAGUGGUCCGGUGAGGCUUUGGGAUCUGAGCAAAGAGAGCGUUUCGCUCGUUUUGCCCGGAAAACUCAGUCGAACCUUAUCAUUUAGAGGAAGGAGAAGUCGUAACA